AUGGGGCAUUGCCACUUUCUGAAGGUCGUGGAGGAUGCCCGAAAGAUUCGGAAGAGCGUGAUAGACUGCUUUGAAAAGGCGUCACCUCCUAACCUCAGUGAAGAGGAGAGAAGGAAGAUCCUUCACUUUGUGAUUAUCGGUGGUGGACCUACUGGGGUUGAAUUUGCGGUGGAGUUGCAUGAUUUUCUUGUCGAAGAUCUGGUGAAGCUAUAUCCUGCAAUUGAAGAAUUUGUGAAGAUAACAAUUAUGCAAUCAGGAGAACAUAUAAUGAGGGUUGAAUGUUCCUGCAGUAAUAACCUUAGUUUUGGGCAAGAUGAUCAAGGAGUAGCGAAACUUUAG
rnacentral:rRNA from 1 species